rnacentral:rRNA from 1 species
GGUCCCAAGGGUUGGGCUGUUCGCCCAUUAAAGCGGUACGCGAUCUGGGUUCAGAACGUCGUGAGACAGUUCGGUCCCUAUCCGCUGUGGGCGCGGGAAGUUUGAGGAGUGUGGACCCUAGUACGAGAGGACCGGGUCGAACGAACCUCUGGUGAACCGGUUGUCCCGCCAGGGGCAUAGCCGGGUAGCUAUGUUCGGAUCAGAUAAACGCUGAAAGCAUAUAAGCGUGAAACUGACUCCAAGAUGAGACUUCAAUCUCGAACAGAGUGAAGGGUCGUGGUAGACUACCACGUUGAUAGGCCGCAGGUGGAAGCAUCGCAAGAUGUGGAGCUGAGCGGUACUAAUAGCCCGGAAAUUUUUAGAAU